GGGUGAGUAACGCGUGGGAAUCUACCUUUUGCUACGGAAUAACGCAGGGAAACUUGUGCUAAUACCGUAUGUGUCCUUCGGGAGAAAGAUUUAUCGGCAAGAGAUGAGCCCGCGUUGGAUUAGCUAGUUGGUGGGGUAAAGGCCUACCAAGGCGACGAUCCAUAGCUGGUCUGAGAGGAUGAUCAGCCACAUUGGGACUGAGACACGGCCCAAACUCCUACGGGAGGCAGCAGUGGGGAAUAUUGGACAAUGGGCGCAAGCCUGAUCCAGCCAUGCCGCGUGAGUGAUGAAGGCCCUAGGGUUGUAAAGCUCUUUCACCGGAGAAGAUAAUGACGGUAUCCGGAGAAGAAGCCCCGGCUAACUUCGUGCCAGCAGCCGCGGUAAUACGAAGGGGGCUAGCGUUGUUCGGAAUUACUGGGCGUAAAGCGCACGUAGGCGGAUCGAUCAGUCAGGGGUGAAAUCCCAGGGCUCAACCCUGGAACUGCCUUUGAUACUGUCGAUCUGGAGUAUGGAAGAGGUGAGUGGAAUUCCGAGUGUAGAGGUGAAAUUCGUAGAUAUUCGGAGGAACACCAGUGGCGAAGGCGGCUCACUGGUCCAUUACUGACGCUGAGGUGCGAAAGCGU
rnacentral:rRNA from 1 species